rnacentral:rRNA from 1 species
AGCGAACGCUGGCGGCAGGCCUAACACAUGCAAGUCGAACGGACCCUUCGGGGUUAGUGGCGGACGGGUGAGUAACACGUGGGAACGUGCCUUUAGGUUCGGAAUAGCUCCUGGAAACGGGUGGUAAUGCCGAAAGUGCCCUUCGGGGGAAAGAUUUAUCGCCUUUAGAGCGGCCCGCGUCUGAUUAGCUAGUUGGUGAGGUAAAGGCUCACCAAGGCUACGAUCAGUAGCUGGUCUGAGAGGAUGGCCAGCCACAUUGGGACUGAGACACGGCCCAAACUCCUACGGGAGGCAGCAGUGGGGAAUCUUGCGCAAUGGGCGAAAGCCUGACGCAGCCAUGCCGCGUGUAUGAUGAAGGUCUUAGGAUUGUAAAAUACUUUCACCGGUGAAGAUAAUGACUGUAGCCGGAGAAGAAGCCCCGGCUAACUUCGUGCCAGCAGCCGCAGUAA